rnacentral:rRNA from 1 species
CCUACGGGAGGCAGCAGUGAGGAAUAUUGGUCAAUGGACGAGAGUCUGAACCAGCCAAGUAGCGUGAAGGAUGACUGCCCUAUGGGUUGUAAACUUCUUUUAUAUGGGAAUAAAAUGUUCCACGUGUGGGAUUUUGUAUGUACCAUAUGAAUAAGGAUCGGCUAACUCCGUGCCAGCAGCCGCGGUAAUACGGAGGAUCCGAGCGUUAUCCGGAUUUAUUGGGUUUAAAGGGAGCGUAGGUGGAUUGUUAAGUCAGGUGUGAAAGUUUGCGGCUCAACCGUAAAAUUGCAGUUGAAACUGGCAGUCUUGAGUACAGGAGAGGUGGGCGGAAUUCGUGGUGUAGCGGUGAAAUGCUGAGAUAUCACGAAGAACUCCGAUUGCGAAGGCAGUUCACUGGACUGCAACUGACACUGAGGCUCGAAAGUGUGGGUAUCAAACAGGAUUAGAUACCCUUGUAGUC